rnacentral:lncRNA from 1 species
CAAUUUUUCUGCACCAGAUGCGCAUUUCGACAAAUAAUGUCUCUUCAGUGAUGCUCGUGGCCAAAAUAUGUAAAAUCCAAAGCUUAUAUAAAAGAUGUAGAGCUAUAAUCCAAAAGUUCCAAAAAGUAUAGCCAAAUCCGUGAAAGGAAUCAGAGCUUUGCAUGAGGGAGAUACAUUCCUUAAUUUAUAAUAAUUUUUAACAUUUUGUAACAGCAAAUUUAAUAACACAAAAAAUCCGUAUUUUCAUGCCAG